UAAUCUGCGAUAAGCGCCGGUAAGGUGAUAUGAACCGUUAUAACCGGCGAUACCCGAAUGGGGAAACCCAGUGUGACUCGUCACACUAUCAUUAACUGAAUCCAUAGGUUAAUGAGGCGAACCGGGGGAACUGAAACAUCUAAGUACCCCGAGGAAAAGAAAUCAACCGAGAUUCCCCCAGUAGCGGCGAGCGAACGGGGAGGAGCCCAGAGCCUGAAUCAGCAUGUGUGUUAGUGGAAGCGUCUGGAAAGGCGCGCGAUACAGGGUGACAGCCCCGUACACAAAAGCGCAUGUGCUGUGAGCUCGAUGAGUAGGGCGGGACACGUGGUAUCCUGUCUGAAUAUGGGGGGACCAUCCUCCAAGGCUAAAUACUCCUGACUGACCGAUAGUGAACCAGUACCGUGAGGGAAAGGCGAAAAGAACCCCGGCGAGGGGAGUGAAAAAGAACCUGAAACCGUGUACGUACAAGCAGUGGGAGCCCCACCACCAAAGCAUUUGCUGUACCGCGUUGACGGAGCGAAGCGACGUCAAACCGAUAAAACAGCAGUGUAAAGUGAGCCGCAGGGCGCUUUGCGCGACAGCGCAAAGGCAGGCGGUUUCGCGUAGCGAAAGCGAAUGCUUUGGGGUGGGGUGACUGCGUACCUUUUGUAUAAUGGGUCAGCGACUUAUAUUCUGUAGCAAGGUUAACCGAAUAGGGGAGCCGGAGGGAAACCGAGUCUUAAUUGGGCGUUAAGUUGCAGGGUAUAGACCCGAAACCCGGUGAUCUAGCCAUGGGCAGGUUGAAGGUUGGGUAACACUAACUGGAGGACCGAACCGACUAAUGUUGAAAAAUUAGCGGAUGACCUGUGGCUGGGGGUGAAAGGCCAAUCAAACCGGGAGAUAGCUGGUUCUCCCCGAAAGCUAUUUAGGUAGCGCCUCGUGAAUUCAUCUCCGGGGGUAGAGCACUGUUUCGGCUAGGGGGCCAUCCCGGCUUACCAACCCGAUGCAAACUGCGAAUACCGGAGAAUGUUAUCACGGGAGACACACGGCGGGUGCUAACGUCCGUCGUGAAGAGGGAAACAACCCAGACCGCCAGCUAAGGUCCCAAAGUCAUGGUUAAGUGGGAAACGAUGUGGGAAGGCCCAGACAGCCAGGAUGUUGGCUUAGAAGCAGCCAUCAUUUAAAGAAAGCGUAAUAGCUCACUGGUCGAGUCGGCCUGCGCGGAAGAUGUAACGGGGCUAAACCAUGCACCGAAGCUGCGGCAGCGACACUGUGUGUUGUUGGGUAGGGGAGCGUUCUGUAAGCCUGUGAAGGUGUGUCGUGAGGCAUGCUGGAGGUAUCAGAAGUGCGAAUGCUGACAUAAGUAACGAUAAAGCGGGUGAAAAGCCCGCUCGCCGGAAGACCAAGGGUUCCUGUCCAACGUUAAUCGGGGCAGGGUGAGUCGACCCCUAAGGCGAGGCCGAAAGGCGUAGUCGAUGGGAAACGGGUUAAUAUUCCCGUACUUGGUGUUACUGCGAAGGGGGGACGGAGAAGGCUAUGUUGGCCGGG
rnacentral:rRNA from 2 species